UCCCUGGAACAAAAGACAUCUCGGAUAAUAUUAUACAGUGGACCAGACUUGAGCUAAAUUACUUUUAACAAAUUAAUUAACACACUGUAGGAACCUGUAACAUACCUGUUUAUUGAGAUCAGGUAAAUCUAGAGCUAGUCUGGCCAUCUUUGGGAUCAGCAAAUGGAGAUUAUUGUCCUUUGAGUGCUGCUAUGAUUGCCAUGAUCAGAUUUUAGGGUAAUUAAACAAACUUCAAUUGGAGUAGGAGAAAGAAAGAAAAACAAAAAAAGUAUGUAAUGUAAAUCAAACUUGUAUACUGAAGGGGAAAAAAGGAUGCUGAAAUAGGCCACCCAUUUCCUUUCAAUUAAAAUUACUACACACUAUGUAGUGCUUUAAUUCAUACUGUAGUGUAUGGAACUCUUUUGAUUCUGUGAAUUGUGUGUACAGGCUUUAAAAACAUUAUUGUUUUUUAAAGUAGUUACCAUAACUCAAGUGAAGCAGAAUUGGGAGGGGAAAAGGGUAAAUAAUAUCUCCUCACUUGUUCGUUUUUAAUACUCCCAGAUGUUCAUUCGUCACGUUAACCACAAGAUGACGCCACACUCCAAUUAUUAUAACCAUUCAUUUCUUUUAUAAACUUGUCUUACUCACGCUGAAAUUAAUUUUGUUUCUAGCUACACUCUCAGGAGAAAAGGUACAAAGGCUGUAACUGGGACGGUACAAUUCUAAAGGGUACACUGUUGUGCCUUAUUAACUCCUAAAGGAUGCAUAUUAGAAUCUUAAAGGUACAUAUUGGUGCCUUAAAUGUACAUGUUAGUUCCUAAAUGGUACAUAUAAGUACCUUUUGAAAGGGUACUGCCCCAGUGACAACUUUUGUACCUUUUUUCCUGAAACUGUAUUUUUCUGUAUUGUUCUUAAAAUGAGGUGUUUUCACAAAACUGCAGCUGCUAACCACUGGCCGUUGUGUCUCAGUUAGGCCUGCAUAAUGUCUGUUGGACAAACCUGCAUUCACUGGUGCCUGAAACCCUCAGCGGGACGCCAUGGACAGAGAUUCACCUCAGGCAAGAGGAACAACAGCUCUCUUUAAAUGUGAAAAGCUCUCCCUGUUUGAGUCAGAUGGUUGCUCCUUUCCUGAGGGUUUUUUUUUCUCCUGCACCCUCUGCUGUCUGACCCAUCACAUGAUUGGCCUUCUGUCCCGAGCUGCAAUCUCAUUAUCUCUGCUACUUCCACUGGCCCUACAACCCCAAACUCAACAGCAAAAUACUGAAUACAUUGACUCAGUGUUGAAUCGGGUUUAUAAUAUUACAGUCAUUAUAUACCCUUAACAAUGGCAAAUCUAAAAAAUAAUCAAUAUGCAAGCAUAAAUUGCAGAUACCUCUUUUUGAGAGCUCGUAUAUCUUGGAUGACACACUUUCUUCCAGCUUUCUCCAUUUUCAUCCAAUUAGGAGGACUGUGGCAUGAUUGAGACAGACAGAAUGUCCUCUUCAAUCGCUGCCUCUGCCUCUGAUGUGGCUGUUAAUGUCUGUCUGAGUUAUGGAACUGCAUAUGAUCCAGCAGCUUUAUGCAACACACGGUGCCUAAGCUCUUCGUCUGGCCCCAAACCUCCAGACUAACGUUCAGUCAUGCUCAUCAAGACUGCAGAUCUAUUGUUCUUUCCUCAGCAGCUCCAGUCUAGCCCAGGCGCUCUCGCUCUCCCCCACCCUCCCUUCAUUCUCUCUGCUGGAUAAUUCCCAUGAUAUGUUCUUGCCAUUGGGGUGGGGCGUACCAUUCUCAAUGAGGGUGCCCUACGAGAUCUUAACAGGAGAGGAAUGAGAGAGGAAUAACAAUUAUGUCACUGCAUGAAAGCAAACGCUUGAUGAACUAACAAAAUGGACGACGUGAGUUCUGUGCUCUUUCCACGAUAACAUCGCAGAGACAAUAGAGCAUCAGAACAAAUCACAAAUGUACAAAUGCAGGGGCGAGAGAAAGCCAGGAAAGCAGAUGAAAGAUCAGGCUGAUGAACACCGUCUGUCUCUGUCACCUCAUGCCCAGAAGCUGAAUUCAAACCUUAACAUGACACCGUCUCUGCCAAACGCAGCGCCGCUGACUGCUGCCAGAUUGCCAUACAUCUGUUUCACAGCUAAACUACUGCUGUUCCUUUCUGCUGGAUCUGAAGCAGAAAAAUCACCAAAAUGUACUGUUUAAUUCACGUUCCUGUUUGAACGAUUGACCGUGCAUGUUAUUCCAGAGAAAACAAUGUAAUGAGAUUAAUAAACAGUUGAUAUCUAAGGGUUGAGAGAGGUUGAGUUUGCCCUUCUCUGACCUCUCUAUUGUGAGGUUUGCAGCAGUCUGAACCAGUCCUUUCACUGCCUGCUGCUUUUUAGAGGACGGCGCACACCACUGCUGUGCUUCUAAUUCAUGAUUUAAAAACACUUUGGCUAGUUGCCCGUGAGAAAAACAUGUCCCUGAACACAUCGAGCCUCAUUCAUGAAACGCAAGUGGAAGGAAUUUCUGUGUAAACUGUUUAGACAUCUAAUACAACAAUUUACAUGAAAUGUAAUCUUUUAAGUGUUCUCUUUUUAAUCACGGCUGCAUUUAUUUGAUUUAAAAUACAGUA